UACACAUUCAAACUGGAAACCCUGUUUUACAUGUUUUACAUCAACUGGCAGUGCAGUGUAAACUCAGUCUGAAGAAGGAGCUUCUCAAGAUAAUCACCAUGAUCAGAGUGGGCAGCAUUAUUUGGACUGCAGUGCUAUGUCUGACUGGAUUUUCUCACAGUACUCAUGUCAUCCAGACUCCCUCUAAUCUGAUUAUGAAUCAAAAGGAAUCUGCUACAAUCAAGUGUUGGCACAAUGUAACGAGUUAUAAUCAAAUCAACUGGUACAAACAAACUCAAGAACAAGAGUUGAUUUUUAUUGGAUAUUACUUAGGAAAGUCAACACCCAACAAGGAAAAAGAGUUUGAGACUAAAGUGAACAUGACUGGAGAUGGAAACAGUGAUGUCUCUUUGACUAUCACAGGUCUUUCACUCACAGACACUGCAGUGUAUUUCUGUGCUGCAUAUUACACAGUGCUGCAGAGCUGCUCUAUUCAGUGCAAAAACGUCUUGGAAAUAUUGCCAAAG
ensembl:lncRNA